rnacentral:rRNA from 1 species
GAGUAGUAAUAGUUAUGGUCUUGAAACUUAAAGAAUUUGGCGGUAUUUUAGUCUAUUCAGAGGAACCUGUUCUGUAAUCGAUAAUCCACGAGGACUUUACUAUUAUUUGUUUAUUAAUUUGUAUACCGCCGUUAUAAAUUAUUUUAUUAGAAAAAAAAUUUUUUAAAAUUUUUAAAAAUAUAUCAGGUCAAGGUGCAGUUUAUAUAUUAGGAAGAAAUGGGUUACAAUAAAAUUAUUUAAAUGGAUUAAAAAAUGAAAUUUUUUUAUGAAGGUGGAUUUGAUAGUAAAAUUAUAUAUUUAGUUAAUUUGAUUUUAGCUCUAAAAUAUGC